rnacentral:rRNA from 1 species
UGGUCAAGUUAUUAAGGGUGCAGGGCGGAUGCCUUGGCACUAGGAGCCGAUGAAGGACGUGAUAAGCUGCGAUAAGCUUCGGGGAGUUGCACGUAAACUUUGAUCCGAAGAUUUCCGAAUGAGGAAACUCACUUAGAGUAAUGUCUAAGUAUCAUUAAGUGAAUACAUAGCUUAAUGAGGGGAACUCAGGGAACUGAAACAUCUAAGUACCUGAAGGAAGAGAAAGAAAUUCGAUUCCGUAAGUAGCGGCGAGCGAACGCGGAUUAGCCCAAACCAAUAAAGUUUUCUUUAUUGGGGUUGCGGACAUAUCAUAACGAAGAGGUAUCGUAAUUGAAGAGGUUUGGAAAGACCCACCACAGAAGGUAAUAGUCCUGUAUGUUAAACGAGAAGACUUUAGAUAUGAUCCAGAGUACCACGGGACACGUGAAACCCUGUGGGAAGCAGGAGGGACCACCCUCCAAGGCUAAAUACUACCUAGUGACCGAUAGCGUAUAGUACCGUGAGGGAAAGGUGAAAAGAACCCCGGGAGGGGAGUGAAAUAGAACCUGAAACCCUGCACUUACAAGCUGUGGAAGCACAUUUCUUGUGUGACCGCGUACUUUUUGUAGAACGGGCCAACGAGUUACGUUAAGUAGCAAGGUUAAGCACUUAAGGUGCGGAGCCGUAGCGAAAGCGAGUUUUAACUGAGCGUUCAGUUACUUGACGUAGACCCGAAACCGGGCGACCUACCCAUGAGCAGGAUGAAGCGAAAGUAAAAUUUCGUGGAGGUCCGAACCCACGAGCGUUGAAAAGCUCGGGGAUGACUUGUGGGUAGCGGUGAAAUUCCAAUCGAGCCCGGAGAUAGCUGGUUCUCCCCGAAAUAGCUUUAGGGCUAGCCUCAAGGUGAGAGAUACGGAGGUAGAGCACUGAAUGUCCUAGGGGGUAUUGCACCUACCGAAGACUAUCAAACUCCGAAUGCCGUCAUCUUAUACUUGGGAGUCAGACUGUGGGUGAUAAGAUUCAUAGUCGAAAGGGCAACAGCCCAGAUCGUCAGCUAAGGUCCCUAAAUGUAAGUUAAGUGGUAAAGGAUGUGGGAUUGCACAGACAACCAGGAUGUUGGCUUAGAAGCAGCCACUCAUUCAAAGAGUGCGUAAUAGCUCACUGGUCGAGUGAUCCUGCGCCGAAGAUUUCCGGGGCUAAAACUUACUACCGAAGCUACGGCAUCAGUAAUGAUGGGUAGGGGAGCUUCCCAUACGGGUUGAAGCAUGACCGUAAGGACAUGUGGACAGUAUGGGAGUGAGAAUGUUGGCAUGAGUAGCGAGAUGUGGGUGGGAAUCCCACAGGCCGUAAACCCAAGGUUUCCAGGGGAAGGUUCGUCCGCCCUGGGUUAGUCGGGACCUAAGCUGAGGCCGAAAGGCGUAGGUGAUGGACAACAGGUUGAUAUUCCUGUACUACCGAUAACCGUUUGAGAGAAGGGAUGACACAGUAGGAUAAGCUAAGCACACUGUUGGUUAUGUGUGCCCAAGCAUUGAGGCAGUCAAAGUAGGCAAAUCCGCUUUGAUAAUGCUGGGAUGUGAUGGGGAGCGAAAUUUAGUAGCGAAGUAGCUGAUUUCACACUGUCAAGAAAAGUCUCUAUCGAGGUUAAAGGUACCCGUACCGCAAACCGACACAGGUGGGUGAGGAGAGUAUCCUAAGGCCAGCGAGAGAACUGUUGUUAAGGAACUCGGCAAAAUGACCCCGUAACUUAGGGAUAAGGGGUGCCACCAUCAGGUGGCCGCAGAGAAUAGGCCCAAGCGACUGUUUACCAAAAACAUAGGUUUCUGCUAAGUCGCAAGACGAUGUAUAGGAGCUGACGCCUGCCCGGUGCUGGAAGGUUAAGGGGAUCUGUUAGAGCAAUCGAAGCAGUGAACUUAAGCCCCAGUAAACGGCGGCCGUAACUAUAACGGUCCUAAGGUAGCGAAAUUCCUUGUCGGGUAAGUUCCGACCCGCACGAAAGGCGUAACGAUUUGGGCACUGUCUCAACAACAGACUCGGUGAAAUUGUAAUUCCGGUGAAGAUGCCGGAUACCUGCGACAGGACGGAAAGACCCCAUGGAGCUUUACUGUAGCUUGACAUUGGGUCUUGGUACUACAUGUACAGGAUAGGUGGGAGGCUUUGAAACCAGGACGCCAGUUUUGGCGGAGCCAUCCUUGGGAUACCACCCUUGUAGUACUGGGACUCUAACCAUAGGCCAUGAAUCUGGUCUUGGGACACUGUCAGGUGGGCAGUUUGACUGGGGCGGUCGCCUCCCAAAAGGUAACGGAGGCGCUCAAAGGUUCUCUCAGUACGGUCGGAAAUCGUACGUAGAGUGUAAAGGCAAAAGAGAGCUUGAUUGCAAGACAUACAGGUCGAGCAAGGAUGAAAAUCGGACUUAGUGAUCCGGUGGUUCUGCGUGGAAGGGCCAUCGCUCAACGGAUAAAAGCUACCCUGGGGAUAACAGGCUUAUCUCCCCCAAGAGUCCACAUCGACGGGGAGGUUUGGCACCUCGAUGUCGGCUCAUCACAUCCUGGGGCUGUAGUAGGUCCCAAGGGUUGGGCUGUUCGCCCAUUAAAGUGGUACGCGAGCUGGGUUCAGAACGUCGUGAGACAGUUCGGUCCCUAUCCGUCGCAGGCGUAGGAAAUUUGAGAAGACCUGUCCUUAGUACGAGAGGACCGGGAUGGACGUACCUCUGGUGUACCAGUUGUUCUGCCAAGGGCAUGGCUGGGUAGCUAUGUACGGAAUGGAUAAGCGCUGAAAGCAUCUAAGCGCGAAGCCAACUUCAAGAUAAGAUUUCCCACCGCAAGGGUAAGACCCCAGAAAGACUAUCUGGUUGAUAGGUCGAAGGUGUAAGUGCAGCAAUGUAUUUAGCUUAUCGAUACUAAUAGGUCGAGGACUUGACCAAU